rnacentral:rRNA from 1 species
GGUUAAGCGACUAAGCGUACACGGUGGAUGCCCUGGCAGUCAGAGGCGAUGAAGGGCGUGCUAAUCUGCGAUAAGCGCCGGUAAGGUGAUAUGAACCGUUAUAACCGGCGAUACCCGAAUGGGGAAACCCAGUGUGACUCGUCACACCUAUCAUUAACUGAAUCCAUAGGUUAAUGAGGCGAACCGGGGGAACUGAAACAUCUAAGUACCCCGAGGAAAGAAAUCAACCGAGAUUCCCCCAGUAGCGGCGAGCGAACGGGGAGGAGCCCAGAGCCUGAAUCAGCAUGUGUGUUAGUGGAAGCGUCUGGAAAGGCGCGCGAUACAGGGUGACAGCCCCGUACACAAAAGCGCAUGUGCUGUGAGCUCGAUGAGUAGGGCGGGACACGUGGUAUCCUGUCUGAAUAUGGGGGGACCAUCCUCCAAGGCUAAAUACUCCUGACUGACCGAUAGUGAACCAGUACCGUGAGGGAAAGGCGAAAAGAACCCCGGCGAGGGGAGUGAAAAAGAACCUGAAACCGUGUACGUACAAGCAGUGGGAGCACAGGUUUACCUGUGUGACUGCGUACCUUUUGUAUAAUGGGUCAGCGACUUAUAUUCUGUAGCAAGGUUAACCGCAUAGGGGAGCCGGAGGGAAACCGAGUCUUAAUUGGGCGUUAAGUUGCAGGGUAUAGACCCGAAACCCGGUGAUCUAGCCAUGGGCAGGUUGAAGGUUGGGUAACACUAACUGGAGGACCGAACCGACUAAUGUUGAAAAAUUAGCGGAUGACCUGUGGCUGGGGGUGAAAGGCCAAUCAAACCGGGAGAUAGCUGGUUCUCCCCGAAAGCUAUUUAGGUAGCGCCUCGUGAAUUCAUCUCCGGGGGUAGAGCACUGUUUCGGCUAGGGGGCCAUCCCGGCUUACCAACCCGAUGCAAACUGCGAAUACCGGAGAAUGUUAUCACGGGAGACACACGGCGGGUGCUAACGUCCGUCGUGAAGAGGGAAACAACCCAGACCGCCAGCUAAGGUCCCAAAGUCAUGGUUAAGUGGGAAACGAUGUGGGAAGGCCCAGACAGCCAGGAUGUUGGCUUAGAAGCAGCCAUCAUUUAAAGAAAGCGUAAUAGCUCACUGGUCGAGUCGGCCUGCGCGGAAGAUGUAACGGGGCUAAACCAUGCACCGAAGCUGCGGCAGCGAACGUAUCACUUAAAGCGAUUCAGCGGGUUACGAUUGACGGAGCGAAGCGACGUCAAAGCGUAUACAAAGUCGAGUCGGUUUAAGGAUACGUUCGUUGGGUAGGGGAGCGUUCUGUAAGCCUGCGAAGGUGGCCUGUGAGGGUUGCUGGAGGUAUCAGAAGUGCGAAUGCUGACAUAAGUAACGAUAAAGCGGGUGAAAAGCCCGCUCGCCGGAAGACCAAGGGUUCCUGUCCAACGUUAAUCGGGGCAGGGUGAGUCGACCCCUAAGGCGAGGCCGAAAGGCGUAGUCGAUGGGAAACGGGUUAAUAUUCCCGUACUUGGUGUUACUGCGAAGGGGGGACGGAGAAGGCUAUGUUGGCCGGGCGACGGUUGUCCCGGUUUAAGCGUGUAGGUGUGUGUUCCAGGUAAAUCCGGUUCACUUUAACACUGAGGCGUGAUGACGAGGCACUACGGUGCUGAAGCAACAAAUGCCCUGCUUCCAGGAAAAGCCUCUAAGCAUCAGGUAACAUCAAAUCGUACCCCAAACCGACACAGGUGGUCAGGUAGAGAAUACCAAGGCGCUUGAGAGAACUCGGGUGAAGGAACUA